rnacentral:lncRNA from 1 species
AUAGAGAUUUCAUUAUGGUUCAAUCUCUAGGAAUGAGAGAGUCAGGGGGCACAAAGUCCACCAAGCCUCCCAGAUCUCACAGUGAGCCACCAGCUUAGGCUCUUUGGCAGGGUAGGGACCAUGGAUGCCCUCCAGAUGCAGAUUAGCUUGGGGAUGGGGCCCUGGGAGCAUGUCCUUCAUAAAGCAGGAGGCUGUCGGUGCACCCAAGAGCACCACAUUUCAGCCUACCUUCUGCAGCCCUCGAUAUCCCAGGAUCACCCCCAGUCCCCAACCACCGCCAUCUUCACCUUCUUCGCUAGACACUCUUUAUAGGCAACAGUUAUAAACCAAAUCUCUAUUUAAAACCCUAUGAUUCUAAUUUAAGCUUGUGAUUUUUCUCCUAACAAGCACCUGAAUAUGAUUAGCAGUGUUGUCUUUCCUUUAGUGAAUCAGAGGGUGCACUGAUCACAUUAUUUUUUUUUUUUAUACCAAUGAGUUUCAACCUUGUUAGUACAUUAGAAUUUCUUGGGGAGUUUUUCAACAUCUUCAUGGCCAGGCCAUAUUUCAUCUCUGGGGAUGGAAGUCAAGAGUCAGUACUUUCAAACACUCCCCAGAUAAUUCAAUGUGCCUCCAAGUUUGAAAACCAGCCAAAAAGGGGGGUUGGGGAGGAGGAAGAGCUCUCUGUGAAAGGCUAGUCAAUGUGAGAAAUGUGAGGUUUGGGCUGGUUGAUUUGAUGGUUGAUCAAAUGAAGGGCUUGCUGAGGGGAGGAAAGGCAUCAUUCUUAAUGUGAUUUAGGGCUUAGACCUAAGUUGGAAAGGAUAUCAAAACCCCUACAUUCAGAGGGAAAGAACGUGGCCAUAGAGACCUACACUUAUCUCCUAUCUGGGACUGUUCAGAACCUUCCCUGGCCAGAAAGAUUUCUCUGCCUUUAUGUCCCUCCACUGCCACUGCAGGUCCUUCUGCUGAGCCUUCCUCCUGCCCGCUUGAGUUGGCUUCCACAGCUGCCUUGCUGCCUCCCUUGAAAUCGCAGUCCACGUGAUGUGUGAGUCUCAUAGUGGCAGGCAUAGGGAGACAAGAGAGAAAUUUUGCCACUUCCUCCUUGGUUAUAUUUGGCUCAUGCACUACAAAGACAGCUCCUUCACAUACAACCUCAAAAGUCCCUACAUUUUAGCCAGCACUCAACUCCUCUCACAGGAAGCCCUUGCUGAUCCACUUCCCAAUUUAUAUAACUCCAAUGCUUUGCACAAAGCAGGAGAGGUCAAGAAAUGAGUAUUGAGGAGUUCCCUUCGUGGUGCAGUGGUUAACGAAUCCAACUAGGAACCAUGAGGUUGUGGGUUUGAUCUCUGGCCUUGCUCAGUGGGUUAAGUAUCCAGCGUUGCCGUGAGCUGUGGUGUAGGUUGCAGACAAGGCUCGGAUCCCAUGUUGCAGUGGCUCUGGUGUAGGCCGGGGACUACAGCUC